GUGCUCGCUUUGGCAGCACAUAUACUAAAAUUGGAACGAUACAGAGAAGGUUAGCAUGGCUCCUGCACAAGGAUAACAUGCAAAUUCGUGAAGCACUGCAUAUUUUA
ensembl:snRNA U6 U6 spliceosomal RNA